GACGAACGCUGGCGGCGUGCUUAACACAUGCAAGUCGAACGCUGAAGCUUGGUGCUUGCACUGGGUGGAUGAGUGGCGAACGGGUGAGUAAUACGUGAGUAACCUGCCCUUGACUCUGGGAUAAGCCUGGGAAACUGGGUCUAAUACUGGAUACGACAUGCCACUGCAUGGUGGUGUGUGGAAAGGGUUUUACUGGUUUUGGAUGGGCUCACGGCCUAUCAGCUUGUUGGUGGGGUAAUGGCCUACCAAGGCGACGACGGGUAGCCGGCCUGAGCGGGUGACCGGCCACACUGGGACUGAGACACGGCCCAGACUCCUACGGGAGGCAGCAGUGGGGAAUAUGGCACAAUGGGCGGAAGCCUGAUGCAGCGACGCCGCGUGAGGGAUGACGGCCUUCGGGUUGUAAACCUCUUUCAGCACGGAAGAAGCGAGAGUGACGGUACGUGCAGAAGAAGCGCCGGCUAACUACGUG
rnacentral:rRNA from 1 species